CGGUCUUUCUCCUCUCUCCUCCCGCACAUCCAAGAAAAAGAAUCCCCCACGAUUGAUUUCUCGCCGCGCCGUGGAAGCGCCCCCCGCUCGAUGACUCCACCGUUACGCGCGCGGCGCCGCCGAUGCCGCCUUCCCCGUUUCCCCGCGUCUCCUGCCCCAUCUCCAUUCGCGCCGCGUCCCCAUCUGCCAUGGUCAGCUGGAAACCGCCGGUUAGCUUGCUCUAUGGCAACUGCCAAUGCAGAUUGUGGUGUUGCCGAUCGUGGUGCUCGUGCUGGUUAGCUCCUCUUCCAAUGCAAAAGGUACAUGCCUUCCGAUUGUACUACUGCCGCACGUCCAUUGACUCAUUUCCUCUCAUCUUUAACCUGCCUCAAGUCCGGCACCACAAGUCCGGCACCAGUGCCCACGGACCAGACCAUUGCGUGCUACCUUCUUGCCGCCCCCGGUCUUCACGACGGCGUCGGCGUAUACGUGUUGCUGCAUAACACGCACGAUGCCUACAAGUGCAACUUCUCCGCGCUGGUGGCUAAAUCGGAGAUAUCAGGCCUGUAAAACCAGAUGCGAGCACCAAGACCACAUGCGUCCAAAGGUUCUAACGUGUUGCUUUGUGUGCUCAUAGGAUGGAUCGGCCUGUUCAUGUGUUGUGUGUACUUUUCAUGUUGCAACUUGCAAGCCUGCAAUACUUUUGUUUAUUCAAGGCCGACAGUUCCUAUAAAUAUUACGUUUUAUUCAAAAAGGCUUCCUACUAGAAGAAGAAGCAAAUUGAACUUGUA